rnacentral:rRNA from 1 species
UUGACCUCGGAUCAGGUAGGGAUACCCGCUGAACUUAAGCAUAUCAAUAAGCGGAGGAAAAGAAACCAACAGGGAUUGCCCUAGUAACGGCGAGUGAAGCGGCAACAGCUCAAAUUUGAAAGCUAGCCUUCGGGUUCGCAUUGUAAUUUGUAGAGGAUGCUUUGGGUGAAACGCCAGUCUAAGUUCCUUGGAACAGGACGUCAUAGAGGGUGAGAAUCCCGUAUGUGAC